rnacentral:rRNA from 1 species
AAAACAACCCUACGGGAGGCAGCAGUGAGGAAUAUUGGUCAAUGGACGCAAGUCUGAACCAGCCAUGCCGCGUGAAGGAUGAAGGCCUUCUGGGUUGUAAACUUCUUUUAUGUGGGAAGAAACCUCUGUUUUCUAAUAGAGUUGACGGUACCAUAGGAAUAAGCACCGGCUAACUCCGUGCCAGCAGCCGCGGUAAUACGGAGGGUGCAAGCGUUAUCCGGAUUUACUGGGUUUAAAGGGUGUGUAGGCGGGCUAUUAAGUCAGUGGUGAAAUCUCCGGGCUCAACCUGGAAACUGCCAAUGAUACUAUUAGUCUUGAAUUUUGUUGAGGUAGGCGGAAU